ACCUUCCAGUUUCCUUGCCCAUUAGAGCCAAACACUGGUAUGAGAGGCUAUGAAAGGAGGAAGAGCCAACUUGAAAAUGGCAUCAAUUUAUGUGUGACACAUGAGCUCGUUUCAAAAAAAA
rnacentral:snoRNA from 1 species